GAGUCGUGUGAUGAGCACAAAGCGAAUUAUUCUUUCGCCUUUUACUAAAGAAUACCGUGGGCUUGUCACAAUAAGCUGGCAUAUGCCACUUUUUGAAAGGGUUCUCUUUGGAGUACC